rnacentral:rRNA from 1 species
CUCAGAUUGAACGCUGGCGGCAGGCUUAACACAUGCAAGUCGAGCGGUAGCACAGGGGAGCUUGCUCCCUGGGUGACGAGCGGCGGACGGGUGAGUAAUGUCUGGGAAACUGCCUGAUGGAGGGGGAUAACUACUGGAAACGGUAGCUAAUACCGCAUAACGUCGCAAGACCAAAGAGGGGGACCUUCGGGCCUCUUGCCAUCAGAUGUGCCCAGAUGGGAUUAGCUAGUAGGUGGGGUAAUGGCUCACCUAGGCGACGAUCCCUAGCUGGUCUGAGAGGAUGACCAGCCACACUGGAACUGAGACACGGUCCAGACUCCUACGGGAGGCAGCAGUGGGGAAUAUUGCACAAUGGGCGCAAGCCUGAUGCAGCCAUGCCGCGUGUGUGAAGAAGGCCUUCGGGUUGUAAAGCACUUUCAGCGAGGAGGAAGGUGGUGAACUUAAUACGUUCAUCAAUUGACGUUACUCGCAGAAGAAGCACCGGCUAACUCCGUGCCAGCAGCCGCGGUAAUACGGAGGGUGCAAGCGUUAAUCGGAAUUACUGGGCGUAAAGCGCACGCAGGCGGUUUGUUAAGUCAGAUGUGAAAUCCCCGGGCUCAACCUGGGAACUGCAUUUGAAACUGGCAAGCUAGAGUCUCGUAGAGGGGGGUAGAAUUCCAGGUGUAGCGGUGAAAUGCGUAGAGAUCUGGAGGAAUACCGGUGGCGAAGGCGGCCCCCUGGA